UAUAAAUCUGCGGUUGUAGAAAAAAGUUGUAGAGAGAAUGAAGAGCAACUUACCAAGUAACUAAAGAUCCAGUUGAAAAAAAUUGAUUUAUAAUCCCCCUCUAUUUCUUUUCAAUUGAUAACUAUAGUUACUGUUGGUGAUAAUGAAGAGCAUUGACGAUGGAGUAGACUUUNAUAUAAGGGAAAGGAUGCAGCAACCAUUUGAUCAAGGAGAGGUUUUCGGAUUGCGUUGGAGGAACGAUUUCUGUUUACAUAAGUUGAAUAAAAAUAAACUAGUUAACGAUUUAUUUUAGGUUUAAAACACAAACAGGUAAUAAGCCGAUUUAAAUGAAAGAAAAUUUACAAAAAAUAACGACUAUAAAGAACAAUUAGAAAAAGAAUUAAAAAAACAGUUUCUUAAAUUUUUUUAUUUAAAACCAUUUUUUUAAAUAAUGUAAAAGUAUAUUGCAAAAAUAUGGUGCAAAUUUGUAAAAACAAAUCCGAAGCUAAUUCAUAAUUUUUUUUUUAAAUCNUAUAUUGCAAAAAUAAGGUGCAAAUUUGUAAAAACAAAUCCGAAGCUAAUUCAUAAUUUUUUUUUUUAAAUCCGGUGCCGAACUUGCUAUAGCCCAUCACACAGUAAACAAUUUCGAUUAAAAUCAUCGUCGGGGGAGGUGGGGGGGUAUUUCUGAUGGUUUCUGUGAGGACGAGCUCAUGAAGUCAAGGUGGAUAGAUGAUGAGGGUUGGUUUAGGGUACGACAAAAUACAAUGAAUUUGAAGCCAACAUCGGGAAGGGUCAUUGAAACUUAAUCAUCAGCAAGUAAGUUCUCAUGUUCUUGUUCAGCGUAUGCUAGAAUAAAAUAAAUUCUAGGAGAAAUUGAGAUGAUAAGAACAUCAUCCUCGUCAUUACAGCCAGAUAGAUCGAUUGAGAGGGAAGUAAAAGGUAGGAGAUGGCGAUUUCCAUCUACUAACACCUCAUAGAUUGAUGUUUAAGCUAACUUUAUUCAAAUAGUGCGUGGAGGAAUCUAAUGUUUAAUUUUAAGGUAUGAGUUAUUCCCAUUUGUAUUGAACUUAGGUUUGAAGCGUGUAGUGGAAAUAAAAAUCCGUUUCAUGUUCAUUUUAGGGACAAGGUUUUCUUUUUAACCAUUUGUAGAUAAUUUAUGUGGUUGCAAGCUCUGAUCUAUCACCCAGUUGAUAGAUUUGGUGUGUUUGGGUGAAAAACAUAAUUAUGACCUAUGUUUCCAAUUGGGGGUUACGUGUGUUGGAUUGCCACCCCAGACGGCGAGAGCAAGCGAUCGAUUUAGAUGCUCAAAGAUACGUUCCGUCUUAUGUAUUAGACUUUGGAGGGAGUUGGAAUAUAACCUUCCACUGGCUGAAUUCUCCUACAAAAGCAGUUAUCAUGCCAGUAUUCACCGGCCAUCGUUUAAGAUGUUAUAUGGAAGGAGGUGCAAUACCCAGUAUGCAUGGGGGAGGUCGGGCAUCGGGUCAUGGGUGUACUGAGGUGGUACUCAAGACCAUUGAAUUGAUUCACUAGGUGCACGACAUGUUGCGAGUCCCUUAAAGCGGAUAGGAGAGUUACGCAGAUCGGGGACGUUCGGACCUCGUGUUUCAGGAAGAGGAUUUGGUGCCUUUAAAGAUGUCACCUUGGAAAGGUAUCAUCCAAUUUCAAAAGUCGGGAAGCUAAUAGUAGAUUUAUUGGUCCAUUCAGGAUUUCUUCCCUGGUAGGAAAUGUUGCAUAUCGUCUGGAUUUUCCUGAUGAGCUCAGCCGGAUCUGCAAAACCUUACAUGUGUCUCAGCUUCGGAAGUGUGUCGCCGAUUAGCUCGAAGCUGUUCCUUUGGAUUACAUUCAGGUAGAUGAUCGUCUAAAUUAUGUGAAGAGAUCGGUGACGAUCUUCGAUUGGAAGACGAGCACUCUUUGCAACAAAGGAGUAUCACUACACAAGGUCCAGUGGCAUCAUCAGAAGGAUUUUGAAUGGAAGUGGGAGCCUGAGGCGGCGAUGCGAGAGUACUACCCUAAUUUAUUUGCAACAACAGACUUUGAGGACGAAGUUUAGUUCAAGUGCGGGAGAGUUGUAACAUCUUGACUUCCAAGUAUUUUAAAAAAUUUACACUUGAUUUGAGUUUGGUUUUAAAAUUUAGUCCCAAGCGGUCUUUUCGUAAUUUUUGCGUAGGACUCUCGUACCUUGGGCGUACGUGGCGAGGGUGCAAACCCUAAAUUAUAUGGUUUCGACCCUAUUUAAGCAUCAUUAUAGCCCCAUGCCAUCAUUUAUCUUCAGCCUCCAUCCCUAUCUCGAAACCCUAAAGUAAGUGAGUGAGUUUUGAAGCGUGAUGAGCCUUUUUAGUGCCAUUCUAGUGCUCUUAGUGGUGAAGGAGGAACCUAGAAGUUGUGGUGUUUCACUUAAGGCUUUGGAUCCUACAACUACUCUGUCUUGUUCAUCUUCUGGAGGUCUUAAGCUACCACUUGAUGAAUAUUUCAUUAAGAUGUAGUUUAGUUUAAAGUUAGCACCUUUUUGUACCAAAUCUUGAUUCUUAUGAGUAUGGAGUACUCCAAGAUGUUUGAGUUGUCAUUUCAGAUGUUAUAGGGUGUGUUAAGUCAUAAAAAUAUGAUCUUGGACAUUAGUUCCUUCACAUGCAUGAUCUAGAUUGCCUUAACGGGUCAAGAGACUAGCGUCUUUGGUAAUACGGUCUUAUUAGCCAUGAAAAACCAUAAAGUUGGAAAGUUUAUGGUUCUGAACACUUGUUAGGGUCUUGAUCUAGUUCUUGGACGUAAGUCUUAAAGAUUUAUCAUUUAAUGGAUUGGGUGGGUGGCAGCCACAAAAGUUGGGCAUAGCAACGGGUAGACUGCACGUUCGGGGUCAACCCUUUGACAUUUGGUCAAACUAGUAGUAUUACCCAUUUCUAGAAUUUUAAGUUAUUCAAAAUUCUCGUUCGUACUUUUGGAAGUAAGUAGUGAUUUAAGAUUGUAAUGGAGCAUUGGUAGAUUGUCCAUGGUAAUCCAUAAAGAAUAUUUUGGAACAAAUGCUCAUGAGUACUAUAAUUGAAGAUUUUAAGGUAAUGGAGUAACCCACACUUAGAGAUUACUUCAUGGAUUCUAUAACAAGUUAUUCUAAGAUGAUAAUAUCAUAUAUACGUCAAAUGGAGAUGCUUGGGAUUCUCUCCUACACUUUUUUUUUUUUUGGUUUCCCCCAAACAUUGUUCGUAAAUGGCAAUCAUAAAGGGUUUGACUAGAUAUGACAUAAGCAAUAGGCAGAAUCUUUGUAGUCGAAGUUUGUUUGUUCACUUUUCCCUCAAAAAAUAAAAAUUAAUAUCAUUGUUCCCCUCGAUGAUUUGGUGUUGACAUUAAAAUACAUGGUCGUGCUCAGACUGAAUCGAUGGAUCAAUUAUGCAGUUUUCUUUUUAUUGAUAGAAGUUAGUAUCGGGAAACAAAAUCUUGAACAUUUGAGAUUGAAUAUAUCAAUGUCUCAUUUUCAUAUACAUAUCUCGAAGAAUAAAGGAACAUUUGAUUACUUAUCUAAGGGAUAUAUCACAAUCAUGUGUUUUGAGUAUGGAAAAUACAUUUGACUAGAUCCUCUCUACUCAUUACUAUUAAAUAUUAGACCAUAUAGUCUUGGUGACUUGUGCAAGUUGAGGUUUUAGAAAAUGGUUCCUAGAGUUACAACACAGUGACAACAAUUAGUACAAGCGGAUUGAUAUGUAAGUUAUUAGUACAUAAUGUUAUAAGAUGCAUGUUUGGGUAUACACAUAACCGUUAUUACCCUUUGAGGGAUGAAUCACCUGAUAAUAAAAAGAAAAUAUAAAAAGACAAGUUUAGUUUUAUGUAAAACCCAUUAAAAAGUUGUUAUAAACAUGUAGUAGUUGUAAUAUAUCUUAAAAACUAUGCAUAAAAUGAAUAUAUAAAAAAAGAAAUUGAAUUAGUAAAAAAAAUCAAUUUCUUAAACAAAUUUCUAAAAAAAACUAGUUUCUUAAAAAUGUAAAAACAAACUUGUAUAAACAAGUUGUGGCAAAUUUGUAAACAAAGUUACGGCCAAAGUAAUAUUGAAAAUAAAAACAUUGGCAAUCUUGUAAAGAAAAGGCAACCUCUAAACAUACAAACCUGCAAUAACGAGACAUUGUGAUAAAGAAGAAAUAAAACAUUGGGUUUUCUUACUUCUACAAAUAAUAAAAUGUUAACAUGUAACUUUUAUAUAUUUAAAAUAUUUGGUAACGCAUUUAGUUUUGGUAUUAGCCAUUUAUUUGGUUUUGCAACCAUAUGAUUGCAAACAUCGCACAUGCACAUAGAGGCUCACACGCACACAGUCAGAUUCAAUUGGGGAUGGAGGGAACAACUAGAAAUAAUGAUAACUGGAUUCUAGAACAAACGAUAAACCUUGGGGAUGGAGUUCCCCCAAACACUUCAGUAGGAAAUCAUUAAUAAAGCAUCCCAAUGAAAUGUUCCGAGGAUCUCUGAGGGACACUUGGCUUUUCCUUCAUCUGUAUUUGCUUGAAGUUGAUUGCUUUGUUUUGAAAAUAAACAUGCCAGAAUUACUUGGUAUAUAUAGAGAGAGAGGGAGUAGAGGUGAUUUUCUGAUGGAUGAACAUGGAUACAUCAGCAGCAUGAACAUGGUUGCCAAGAUGUCUCUAUUAGGAGAUAUAUUUUCCCAUAAUCCCAAAUUUCACAUAAAGGGAAAUAUAUGAGAGUGACGAGUUAUGCUGAAGACCAGGUGAACGUGGGUAUCAUAUUCUCAUUUGAUCAUCUAUCCCAUAUACAUGAGCACAUUCAAUCUCUGACCUACCAUAUAUAACAUAUUAGCACAGGAUUUGAUAAUGGGAAAGAGAUGUAUAUUAAUUAUUAAUUCAAAACUAGAAUUGAAUCGAAUAUACCAUGACUGCAAUAUCAUGUAAAGAAAUGAUGCAUUCUGAUUUAUAUAUAAGGUUACAGACACGGGAAGAGGCAGGACAUGCAAAAUUCUGCUCUAAUUGAACUUUUUGUGAAAGAUUUCCUAUUGCAGGUCCACUAGUCUGAUUCUCUUCAUACUCUCAUAAGCUCCAUCGAUUGUAACCCCACUAUCAUUUUCAAGUUUCAACCAUUACCCUCCAAUUAAGUUCAAAUGUGUAUAAACUAUAAAAGGCGUUGAAAGAUUCUCACAUCCACAUAUUCACCCUACACCUAUCACCAUAUAUUUGGAGACUGCAUCUGAUUGUGCACCUGCUUGUAAUUUUCUUUUCUUCUGAUUUUCAUUCGUAUGUAUUCUGCACCCUGUAGUUUACCAGCUAGCUUCCAAUCUUUUUGUUUUUAUAAAUCUACGGUUCUAGAAAAAAGUUGUAGAGAGAAUGAAGAGCAACUUACCAAGUAAAUAAAGAUCCAGUAGAAAAAAAUUGAUUUAUCAAUCCCCCUCUAUUCUUUCCAAAUGUGUAUAGACUUUGAAUGAUAUGGGAAAGGAAGCAGCAACCAUUUGAUCAAGGGGAGGUUUUUUGAUUGCGUUGGAGGAACGAUUUCUGUUUACGUAAGUUGAAUAAAUAUAAACUAGUUAACGAUUUAUUUUAGGUUUAAAACACAAACAGGUAAUAAGCCGAUUUAAAUGAAAGAAAAUUUACAAAAAAUAACGACUAUAAAGAACAAUUAGAAAAAGAAUUAAAAACACAGUUUCUUAAAUUUUUUUAUUUAAAAUCAUUUUUUUAAAUAAUGUAAAACUAUAUUGCAAAAAUAAGGUGNGCAGCGAGUUGAGGUUGACGUUUGACAGAAAAUCAUCAUUAGUUCCAAUCCGGUGCCGAACUUGCUAUAGCCCAUCACACAGUAAGCAAUUUCGAUUAAAAUCAUCGUCGGGGUAGGUGGCGGGGGGAUAUUUCUGAUGGUUUCUUUGAGGACGAGCUCAUGAAGUCAAGGUGGAUAGAUGAUGAGGGUUGGUUUAGGGUACGCCAAAAUACAGUGUAUUUGAAGCCAACAUCGGGAAGGGUCAUUGAAACGUAAUAAUCAGCCGUAAGUUCUNAAGUUCUCAUGUUCUUGUUCAGCGUACGCUAGAAUAAAAUAAAUUCCAGGAGAAAUUGAGAUGAUAAGAACAUCAUCCUCGUCAUUACAGCCAGAUCGACCGAUUGAGAGGGAGGUAAAAGGUAGGAGAUGGCGAUUUCCAUCUACUAACACCUCAUAGGUUUGAAGCGUGUAGUGGAACUUAGGUUUAAUUUUAAGGUAUGAGUUAUUCCCGUUUGUAUUGAACUUAGGUUUGAAGCGUGUAGUGGAAAUAAAUAUAUGUUUCGUGUUCAUUUGAGGGACAUGGUUUUCUUUUUAACCAUUUGUAGAUAAUUUAUGUGGUUGCAAGCUCCGAUCUAUCACCCACUUGAUCCUAGACACGACUACAUAACUGUCCAGGUUUAACCACAGCGUACAACACCCAUUUACUUAUGUUUUGUUCUACUUGUAGUUACGGAUUUUGACGGUUAGGUAUACUUGUAUACUUUCGAAAAUACUUAUAUUUUAAGGUAUACUUUUAGUUCAGAGCACUUAGGCCCCUUAGUUUUUAUAGUCUUAUACCAUGUAAGGUUUGGUAUACUAGUUCACUAUAAACAAGGGCUCUGAUACCAAUCUGUCACACCCCGAAAUCUAAGGCGGAAACGUUCCGGGGCGGAGGACAUCAUGUAUAUCGCAACCAAUGUACGUAGUAAGCAUAGUAAACACAAAACAAUACAUUACAUAGAGUUAUUACAUUUGUUUGAAAUCAAAGUGUUACAAGUGUCAUACAUAUAUAUCAUAUGAACAAAAGUUAAGACGAGUCUGAUAAGCGCUCCGUCUCCAAAAGAACGCGAGUACCUGUCUAAUAUGGACCUGAGAAUACAAGCAGUUUGAAAAUCAGCAUAAAGCUGGUGAGUUCAUAAGAGGUUUGUUUUUUGAAAAUGUACAAGUUUCCUUUGUUUUUCCGAAAAGUUUGUUAUCCAAGAAAAUCCCAUAUUUUCUUAUAAGUAUAGUUGAGUUAUCCGUUUAUUAUACAAUCCGGUUAUGUACGGUUUGUUAUCUCAGGAAAAGCCCUUAUUUUCCUAAAAGUAAAGUUCAGUUAUUGAAUCCAAAUGGAAUGUACAAGUAUCUAACAUACUUGUUGUAUUAGCUAGGUAUUCUGAUGUCCUAGUUAUCCUACACUCGAAUGUAUCCAAAGGCGUGCUUUCGUAUUCGUAUUCGUAUUCGUAUUUAUAUUCGUAUUCGUAUUCAUAUUCAUAUUCGUAUUCGUAUUCGUAUUCAUAUUCAUAUUCGUAUUCGUAUUCGUAUUCAUAUUCGUAUUCCUAUUCCUAUUCCUAUUUCUAUUUGUAUUCGUAUUCGUAUUCGUAUUCGUAUUCGUAUUCGUAUUCGUAUUCGUAUUCGUAUUUGUAUUCGUAUUAUUCCUAGCUGUAAUUUCGUGAUAUUAUCUGUUCCUAACUGUACUUUCGUAUUCGCUCUGUUUCUAACUGUGUGUUACUAUCCCUUCACUCUCGUAUCUACGGGGAGUGGUAAAGUUCUAAGUUUAAUGUUAUUAGUCCUGCACUCUCGUAUCUACGGGAAGUGAUAAAGUUCUUAGUUUAAUGUUAUUAUUCCUUCACUCUCGUAUCUACGCGGAGUUAUAUCAAGAACAUUUUAAUGCUUUAAGAUUCAUGCUUUUAACAACAAUUAUAUGGAAAUUCAUUUGUGAAAUAUAAAAUAUAACAUUUUAAAAACGAGCUUCACAAAUAACAUGACGGUUUACUCUACAAGUUGAACGAUUGGUUAAUACAGUUUUCCGUGUUAAAAGCAUACGAAAUAUGAAAUAGAUCAAAUAAAAUCAUAAGUUUGAGUACAAGAUUUCCUUGUACUNCUUUUGCUUGUAUUCCCCCCCCCCCACCUGAAAACAUUGAAAAACAUUGAAAAAGGGUAGGGGUAUGAAGAGAUACAUAAAAUGUAUCUAAUUAGGCCUUGAUAUACUACUUUAAAAUGAAUAAACAUUCCGAGGUGCAAAAACACUUCAAUUCAAGUGUUUGGAGUGACCCGGGUGGCAUCUAAGGGUGUGUAGGGCCUAAUUAUGGAGUUUACUUUUCAAGAAUAAGCCCUUAAGGGAGUUUACGGUCCAAUGCUCAUAUCCCCAUGAGUUUAUGGCCGUAAACUUAUGGGUGGUGUGCGAAUGGUCUUACAAUGCACACGGGAAGGUCCUAGGGUUGAUUCCAUGGCUUAGGAAGUGAACGGGACUUGAAAUUACCUUGGAUAAGGAGUUUACGGUUUAUGAAGAUGUUCUUGGGGAGUUUACUACCUUAAACACAUGAUUUUACAACCGUAAACUCAUGUUUGUCCAUGAAUCAUGGGUUUUAGUGGUUGUAGGUUAAGCAUACAAAGUUCUAAGUCCAAUUCCAAGCCAUACAAGAUGUUAAAGGCACUUUAACACCCAUUGGAGGAGUUUAUGGUCUAAGGAGGUGUGUUUACGGUCCAAGAAUGUUCUUAAACUGUAAACUCAUGUUUGUCCCAUUUGUGUAUGUUUUGGUGCAUUUCUUGAAGGAUUAUAAGGUUAUAUGCACUCAUGGAAGCUCAUGGAAUCCUUUGGAGGUGUUUAAGGGCAAUUUAACACCUUGAAAAGGUGUUUAUGGUCCAUGAAUGAGGUUUUACGGUCCAAGAAUGUUCUUGGGCCAUAAAAUCAUGUCCAUACCUCAAUUGGUGAGAUUUUGAGGUCCUAAGCUCAUGCAUGCAAGUUUCUAAGCCAUAACUAAGCACUAGAAGUGAUUUGGAAGGGCUUUGGGGCUUCAAAACCCUCUUUAGGGGUGUUCACGGUUUUGGAAGGGUUCUUAAACCUUAAACACAUGUUCUUGAGUGUUUUGGGUGAUUCAAACAUAGAUUUGCAUGAUAAGAAAGCUUAAUAACAAGCUAGGAUAGGUUACUUACCAAAUUGAAGCUUGAAAGGGGGUUUUUGGAUCAAACUCGAGUUUUUAGAGAGAGAGUAGUGUGAGAAAUUGUUUUAAGAGAGAGAAAAAGCUUCAAAAUGAUGUCAGUCAAUCCCUUAUAUAGGGGCUGAGUUUAUGGUCCGGAGAAAUUCUACCCGAUACCGACGUUAAACGGAGCUUUUGGUCGUACCCGAUUAAUUUGCCGUAACUGAACGUGGUCGUAACUAAUAAUUUUCUAAAUAAUAAUUUGGGAUGUUUUCAUGAGUUACUAACGUGUUUGGAUACCAAUUAAGUCAUAAUAGAAGUCUCAAAAAUAAUGACUUAAUUUAAAAGCUUAAACGGAAACAAUUUGAAAAAGAUAAAUUUUAUGGACGGAAACGGGUUACGGCGAUGGAGCAAACUUCGGGUUGUCACAUUAUCCCCCCGUUAGAGGGAAUUUCGUCCCAAAAUUCAAACUUUAGAUAUGACUCAAGGAUUUGGAAAGAGAUACAGAUACUUCUGUUUCAUUGGAUCUUCACGCUCUCAAGUGAAUUUGGAUCCUUUACUUAUCGGGAUACGGCUUUGUUUCGUACGUUUAAAUCUCUAUGAUUUCGAUUGGUUCUACCAUGAGGCUCAGGCUUUCGUUGAUUUCGGUCUCAUCAAGGGAUUACUAGGGUUUCAUCGGGUAGGCACUUCUUAAGGACAGAGACGUGGAAUACCGGAUGAAUGCUGCUAAGUUCUGAGGGUAGUCGGAGUUUGUAGGCUACGGAUCGAUCCUAAUGAGAAUUUGGAAAAGUUCUAUGUACUUCGGGUUAAGUUUUACGCUUUUCAAAAUGUAUCAUGCCUUCUUCGCUUAUUACGUGACCAAAGAAAAUGGUUAGACUGAAGCGCAUCACUACAUCCUCGUAGUGACCAUAUCGAAUCCUGAAUGUUGUUUUGGAACAUCACUCUUGUGAACUCGAAGCUGACUGGGUAACUUCUGCAUCUCUGCUGGAGCCUAUCGAUGCAGAGAUUUGGCUAUAGGGUUUGCUCCGGGAAUUGGGUCGAUGCAAAAGUCUACUUGGCGUCCGAAGGGAAUUCCCGUGAGCUCUUCGGAAAAGACAUCAGGAAAAAUUUGUAGACUUCGGGGAUGCUCUCAAGGUCUUUAACUUCCUGUUUCUCGUUGAUCACAUAGGCUGGGAACUAAGUUUACCGCUAAUGCUCUCUUUCUCACCGUUAGCUAUCUCGACAGUAAACGUUUCAGUUACUAGUUGAGGACUAUGUUUAUGAAGAUGUUCGAAUGCAUAGCUAACAGAUUAUCUUUUCAGUACUAGAAUUGAAAAGGAUUGCAAGCAUAAGGGUUGUCGAAGAGGAAUAUACCUGUGGCAACGGUGGGAUUGGCGGCCGCCUCACCUUUUCCUAUAGCUAGGACUCUUACAGUGUUGCCUGUUGUUGCUGUCUUGGGGAAGUUUCUCUUAUAAUGCCCGACUUCGCUGCAACCGUAGCAGGCCUGAUACCUGCUCCGGAGACUUGAUUGGUUGAUGUUCUGCAACUUCGCGCAAGGUGACCCUCAUGGCCACAAUUUUUGUAAAAUUUCACACGACAGGGACCGGGGAUGCGGUGGUGGUAACUGCAUCGGUUACACCACGGGAAAAUACCGGCAUAUCCGGUGAUAGGUGCUUGGGUUGAGGAACCGACGACAGAAACAACAACAGGGGUAGUGGCAGCGUGGACUGCCACUAUCUGCUGUUUCUUCGAGAACUCCUGUGAAGGCUGACUUUUCUCCUUCGUCUCCUAAAAUUUUCUUUUCUCACCACUUCUCUCUUUCGGCUCAGGAGUGGUGGCUGCUUCCUCUUUGUCCUCACUAUGGUCAAUCAAGAUUUGCGCUAAGCAUUUGGCGUUGUCGUAUGUAUCCGGCUUUGCAGCUAAAACGUUCCCUUUGGUUGGAUGAGUCAACCCCUAGAUGAACCUCUCAAUCUUCUGACUCUCCGGGGUAACCAUUCCCGGACAGAGUAAUGCCAAGUCAUCGAAUCUAGAUGUGUAAGUGCCGAUAUCGGAACCCUUCAUCUUUAGGUUCCAGAGUUCAUGCUCCAGCUUCUGCAUUUCGCCCCAAGGGCAGUACUCCGCGAACAGAAGUUCCUUCAUGACUUCCCAACCCAUAGCAUUGGCUACAGGUAGGGUUAAGGAUUUGACUCGGCCGUUCCACCAAGUCAGAGAUUUAUCGGUGAACGUGCAGGCGGCGAAUUUCACCUUGUCGGAUUCUGAACAAGCACAGAUCUCGAAGAUAGAUUCGAUUUUAUCUAACCACCGAGUUAGGGCAAUGACACCUCCUGUGCCAUCGAAGAAUGUGGGUUUCGCAUUCAUAAAGUCCUUAUAGGAACACUCCUUCUGGUGUCCCUGGCUACCUUCCUGAAUUUGGGGCUGGGGACCACCUCCUUGCCCACCUAAGCCACUAAGGUUCAUUUGCGAUAGGGUAGCAGCCACGGCAGCAUUGACAGCUGCUUAAAAUAUGACGGGAUCGAAUUGAGGAGGAGGUGGUGACGGAGGAGGAUUGUUGUUCUUUGAAAUAGGUCUCUUUCUUGGAGGCAUCUUGAUCUAAAAAGAUCAGGAAAGAGAGGAUGGUAAGUCCUCUGAAUUGAAUUAAGAGAUAUGGAAUAGGGGAUAUCUCAUUAAGACAGAUAUAGAAUUCUAUUAAGCGAUAAGGCAGGAAAGAGCUAUCAAAGCAACUAAACUAUCGCUAAAGGGAUGAUUGAGGAGCAAUGAUGGAAUGAGGAUUUCUAUAACGGAUUUGGCUCGAGAAAUACUCCCAUAGUAUUUCAUGAUUCACUAUGACGACGGCUUGUUUUUUGGGUAUUAGGUAAGUUUUAGGCAUGUCGCAUACCGCAGUCACUCCCAAGCACAUGUUGGUCGUGUCUCGAAUGAAUAUAGUCGGCCAUGCUAUAUUGAUCCUAGACACGACUACAUAACUGCCCAGGUUUAACCAUAGCGUAGAACACCCAUUUACUUAUGUUUUGUUCUACUUGUAGUUAUGGAUUUCGACGGUUAGGUAUACUUGUAUACUUUCGAAAAUACUUAUAUUUUAUGGUAUACUUUAAGUUCAGAGCACUUAGGCCCUAGUGUUUAUAGUCUUAUACCAUGUAAGGUUUGGUAUACUAGUUCACUAUAAACAAGGGCUCUGAUACCAAUCUGUCACACCCCGAAACCUAAGGCGAAAACAUUCCGGGGUGGAGGACAUCAUGUAUAUCGCAACCAGUGUACAUAGUAAGCAUAGUAAACACAAAACAAUACAUUACAUAGAUUUAUUACAUUUGUUUGAAAUCAAAGUGUUACAAGUGUCAUAUAUAUAUAUCAUAUGAACAAAAGCAAAGACGAGUCUUCCAAANAUAUAUAUAUAUAUAUAUAUAUAGAUAUCAUAUGAACAAAAGUUAAGACGAGUCUGAUAAGCGCUCCGUCUUCUCCAAAAGAUCGCGGGUACCUGUCUAAUAUGGACCUGAUGAGUUCAUAAGAGGUUUGUUUUCUGAAAAUGUACAUGUUUCCUUUGUUUUUUAGAAAAGUUUGUUAUCCAAGAAGAUUCCAUAUUUUCUUAUAAGUAUAGUUGAGUUAUCCGUUUAUUAUACGAUCCGGUUAUGUACAGUUUGUUAUCCCAGGAAAAACCCUUAUUUUCCUAAAAGUAAAGUUCAGUUAUUGAAUCCAAAUGUAAUUUAUAAGUAUCUAACAUACUUGUUGUAUUAGCUAGGUAUUCUGAUGUCCUAGUUAUCCUACACUCGAAUGUAUCCAAAGGCAUGCUUUCGUAUUCGUAUUCCUAUUCCUAAUCGUAUUCUUAUUCGUAUUCGUAUUCGUAUUCGUAUUCGUAUUCGUAUCCGUAUUCGUAUAAGUAUUCGUAUUCGUAUUCCUAUUCCUAUUCGUAUUUCUAUUCGUAUUCGUAUUCGUAUUAUUCCUAGCUGUAAUUUUGUGAUAUUAUCUGUUCCUAACUGUACUUUCGUAUUCACUCUGUUUCUAACUGUGUGUUACUAUCCCUUCACUCUCGUAUCUACGGGGAGUGGUAAAGUUCUAAGUUUAAUGUUAUUAGUCCUGCACUCUCGUAUCUACGGGAAGUGAUAAAGUUCUUAGUUUAAUGUUAUUAUUCCUUCACUCUCGUAUCUACGCGGAGUUAUAUCAAGAACAUUUUAAUGCUUUAAGAUUCAUGCUUUUAACAACAAUUAUAUGGAAAUUCAUUUGUGAAAUAUAAAAUAUAACAUUUUAAAAACGAGCUUCACAAAUAACAUGACGGUUUACUCUGCAAGUUGAACGAUUGGUUAAUAUAGUUUUCCGUGUUAAAAGCAUACGAAAUAUGAAAUAGAUCAAAUAAAAUCAUAAGUUUGAGUACAAGAUUUCCUUUUACUUUUGCUUGUAUUCCCCCCCCCCUCCCUGAAAACAUUGAAAAACAUUGAAAAGGGUAGAGGUAUGAACUCACCGGACGAGGAAUGUGUCGGCUAGGAUGCUAAAUGUCAGUUCGGGGCCGACUUGCAAAAGCACAAGAUUCCUAUGUAAUAUGAAGAGAUACAUAAAAUGUAUCUAAUUAGGCCUUGAUAUACUACUUUAAAAUGAAAAAACAUUCUGAGGUGCGAAAACACUUCAAUUCAAGUGUUUGGAGUGACCCGGGUGGCAUCUAAGGGUGUGUAGGGCCUAAUUAUGGAGUUUAGUCUUCAAGAAUAAGCCCUUAAGGGAGUUUACGGUCCAAUGAUCAUAUCCCCACGAUUUUACGGCCGUAAACUCAUGGGUGGUGUGUUCUUGGAUGCCAAAUGGUCUUACAAUGCACAUGGGAAGGUCCUAGGGUUGAUUCCAUGGCUUAGGAAGUGAACGGGACUUGAAAUGACCUUCGAUAAGGAGUUUACGGUUUAAGAAGAUGUUCUUGGGGAGUUUACUACCUUAAACACAUAAGUUUACAACCAUAAACUCAUGUUUGUCCAUGAAUCAUGGGUUUUAGUGGUUGUAGGUUAAGCAUACAAAGUUCUAAGUCCAAUUCCAAGCCAUACAAGGUGUUAAAGGCACUUUAACACCCAUUGGAGGAGUUUAUGGUCUAAGGAGGUGUUUUUACGGUCCAAGAAUGUUCUUGGACCGUAAACUCAAGUUUGCCCCAUUUGUGUAUGUUUUGGUGCAUUUCUUGAAGGAUUAUAAGGUUCUAUGCACUCAUGGAAGCUCAUGGAAGCCUUUGGAGGUGUUUAAGGACAAUUUAACACCUUAAAAAGGUGUUUAUGGUCCAUGAAUGAGGGUUUACAGUCCAAGAAUGUUCUUGGUCCGUAAAGUCAUGUCCAUACCUCAAUUGGUGAGAUUUUGGGGUCCUAAGCUCAUGCAUGCAAGUUUCUAAGCCAUAACUAAGCACUAGAAGUGAUUUGGAAGGGUUUUGGGGCUUCAAAACCCUCUUUAGGGGUGUUCAUGGUUUUGGAAGGGUUCUUAAACCUUAAACACGUGCUCUUGCGUGUUUUGGGUGAUUUAAACAUAGAUUUGCAUGAUAAGAAAGCUUAAUAACAAGCUAGGAUAGGUUACUUACCAAAUUGAAGCUUGAAAGGGGGUUUUUGGAUCAAACUCGAGUUUUUAGAGAGAGAGUAGUGAGAGAAAGUGUUUUAAGAGAGAGAAAAAGCUUCAAAAUGAUGUCACUCAAUCCCUUAUAUAGGGGUUGAGUUUAUGGCCCGGAGAAAUUCUACGCGAUACUGACGUUAAACGGAGCAUUUGGUCGUACCCGAUUAAUUUCCCGUAACUGAACGUGGUCGUAACUAAUAAUUUUCUAAAUAAUAAUUUGGGAUGUUUUGAUGAGUUUCUAACGUGUUUGGAUACCAAUUAAGUCAUAAUAGAAGUCUAAAAAAUAAUGACUUAAUUUAAAAACUUAAACGGAAAUAAUUCGAAAAAGAUAAAUUUUAUGGACAGAAACGGGUUACGGCGAUGGAGCAAACUUCAGGUUGUCACAGUAGGUGCACGACAUGUUGCGAGUCCCCUAAAUCCAAUAGGAGAGUUACGCAGAUCGGAGACGUUCGGACCUCGUGUUUCAGGAGGUGGAUUUGGUGCUUUUAAAGAUGUCACCUUAGAAAGGUGUCAUCCAAUUUUAAAAGUCGGGAAGCUGGCAGCAAAUUUAUUGGUCCCUUCUGGAUUUCUUCCCUGGUAAGAAAUGUUGCAUUUUUGUCUGGAUUUUCCUGAUGAGCUCAGUCGGAUCUACAAAACCUUCCAUGUGUCUCAGCUUCGAAAGUGUGUCGCCGAUUAGCUCAAAGUUGUUCCUUUGGAUUACAUUCAGGUUGAUGAUCGUCUGAAUUAUGUGAAGCGAUCGGUGACAAUCUAGGAUUUGAAGACGAACCCUUUUUGCAACAAAGGAGUAUCACUACAUAAGGUCCAGUGGCAUCAUCAGAAGGAUUUCGAAUGGAAGUGGGAGCCUGAGGCGGCGAUGCAAGAGCACUACCCUAAUUUAUUUGCAACAACAGACUUUGAGGACGAAGUCCAAUUCAAGUGGGGGAGAGUUGGAACAUCUUGACUUCCAAGUAUUUUAAAAUUUUACACUUGAUUUGAGUUUGGUUUUAAAACUUAGUCCCAAGCGGUCUUUUCGUAAUUUUUGCGUAGGACUCUCGUACGUUGGGCGUACGUGGCGAGGGUGCAAACCCUAAAUUUUAAGGUUUGGACCCUAUUUAAGCAUCAUUAUAUCCCCACACCUUCAUUUAUCUUAAGCCUCCAUCCCUAUCUCGAAACCGUAAAGUAAGUGAGUGAGUUUUGAAGCGAGAUGAGCCUUUUCAGUGCCAUUCUAGUGCUCUUAGUGGUGAAGGAGGAACCUAGAAGUUGUGGUGUUUCACUCAAGGCUUUGGAUCCUACAACUACUUUGUCUUGUACAUCUUUUGGAGGUAUAAAGCUACCACUUGAUGAAUAUUUCAUUAAGAUGUAUUUUAGUUUAAAGUUAGCACCUUUUUGUACCAAAUCUUGAUUCUUAUGAGUAUGGAGUACUCCAGGAUGUUUGAGUUGUCAUUUCAGAUGUUAUAGGGUGUGUUAAGUCAUAAAAAUAUGAUCUUGGACAUUAGUUCCUUCACAUGCAUGAUCUAGAUUGUCUUAAUGGGUCAAGAGACUAGGGUCUUUGGUAAUACGGUCUUAUUAGCUAUGAAAAACUAUAAUGUUGGAAACUUUAUGGUUCUGAACACUUGUUAGGGUCUUGAUCUACUUUUUGGACGUAAGUUGGGCAUAGAAACGGGUAGACUGCAAGUUCGCGGUAAGCCCUUUGACAUUUGGUCAAGCAAGUUGUAUUACACAUUUCUAGAAUAUUAAGUUAUUCAAAAUUCUCGGUCGUACUUUUGGAAGUAAGUAGUGAUUUAAGAUUAUAACAGAGCAUUGGUAGAUUGUCCAUGGUGAUGCAUAAAGAAAAUUUUGGAACUGAUGCUCAUGAGUACUUUAAAUGGAGAUUUUUAGGUAUUAGAGUAACCCACACUUAGAGAUUACCUCAUAGAUUAUAUUACAAGUAAUUCUAAGAUGGUAAUAUCAUAUAUACGUCAAAUGGAGCUGCUUGGGAUUCUCUCCUACAAUCUUUUUUGUUUUGGUUUCCCCUAAACAUUGUUCGUAAAUGGAAAUCAUAAUGGGUUUGACUAGAUAUGACAUGAGCAAUAAGCAGAAUCUUUGUAGUCGAAGUUUGUUUGUUCGUUUUUCCCCUAAAAAAUAAAAAUAGAUAUCAUUGUUCCUCUCGAUGAUUUGGUGUUGACAUUAAAAAACAUGGUCGUGCUCAGACUGAAUCGACGGAUCAAUUAUGCAGUUUUCUUUUGAUUGAUAGAAGUUAGUAUCGGGAAACAAAAUCUUGAACAUUUGAGAUUGAAUAUAUCAAUGUCUCAUUUUCAUAUACAUAUCUCGAAGAAUAAAGGAACAUUUGAUUACUUAUCUAAGGGAUAUAUCACAAUCAUGUGUUUGUUUUGAGUAUGGAAAAUAUAUUUGACUAGAUCCUCUCUACUCAUUACUACUAUAUAUUAGACCAUAUAGUCUUGGUGAUUUGUGCAAGUUGAGGUCUUAGAAAAUGGUGCCUAGAGUUACAACACAGUGACAACAAUUAGUACAAGUGGAUUGAUAUGUAAGUUAUUAGUACAUAAUGUUAUAAGAUGCAAGUUUGGGUAUACACAUAACCAUUAUUACCCUUUGAGGGAUGACUCACCUGAUAAUAAAAAGAAAAUAUAAAAAGACAAGUUUAGUUUUAUGUAAAACCCAUUAAAAAGUUGUUAUAAACAUGUAGUAGUGGUAAUAUAUCUUAAAAACUAUGUAUAAAAUGAAUAUAUAAAAAAGAAAUUGAAUUAGUAAAAAAAAAUCUAUUUCUUAAAUAAAUUUCUAAAAAAAACCAGUUUCUUAAAAAUGUAAGAACAAACUUGUAGAAACAAGUUGUGGCAAAUUUGUAAACAAAGUUACGGCCAAAGUAAUAUUGAAAAUAAAAACAUUGGCAAUCUUGUAAAGAAAUGGCAACCUCUAAACUUACAAACCUGCAAUAACGAGUCAUUGUGACAAAGAAGAAAUAAAACAUGGCUUUUCUUACUUCUACAAAUAAUAAAAUGUUAACAUGUAACUUAUAUGUAUUUAAAAUAUUUGGUAACCCAUUUAGUUUUGGUAUUAGCCAUUUAUUAUGUUUUGCAAGCAUAUGAUUGCAAACAUCGUACACGCAUAUAGAGGCUCACACGCACACAGUCACAUUCAAAUCGGGAUGGGGGAACAACAAGAAAUAAUGAUAACUGGAUUCUACAACAAACGAAAACCUUCAAAAUCCUUAAUUCAUAGCUAUCAUUUGUAGUUUAAAACUCAUGGAUUUUAGUAAUUGCUGCUCCAGAAAUGCAUUUACAAAAUUUCAUUAAAGCCAAUCACCUACUAAGAAACACGUGCGUGAAGCAUAAAUCAUUGAGAAAGAUUGCUAACCAACUGCAACUGCAUAUGCUAAUGUACAUAAAAGAUCACAUGAUGAAACGUUUACCAGCAAUAGCAAUGUGUGAGACUCUACUAUUUUGGUGUCAAGUAGCCCUUGGAGUUCCCCCAAACACUUCAGUAGGAAAUCAUUAAUAAAGCAUCCCAAUGAAGUGUUCGGAGGAUCUUUGAGGGACACUUGGCUUUUACUUCAUCCGUAUUUGCUUGAAGUUGAUUGCUUUGUUUCGAAAAUAAACAUUCCAGAAUUACUUGGUAUAUAUAGAGAGAGAGGGAGUAGAGGUUAUUUUCUAAUCGAUGAACAUGGAUACAUUAGCAGCAUGAACAUGGUUGCCAUCGUGUCUGUAUUAGGAGAUAUAUUUUCCCAUAAUCCCAAUUUUCACAUAAAGGGAAAUAUAUGAGAGUGACGAGUUAUGCUGAGGACCAGGUGAACAUGGGUAUCAUAUUCUCAUUUGAUCAUCUAUCCCAUAUACAUGACCACAUUCAAUCUCUGACCUACAAUAUAUAACAUAUUAGCAUAAGAUUUGAUAAUGGGAAAGAGAUGUAUAUUGAUUAUUCAUUCAAAACUAGAAUUGAAUCGAAUAUACCAUGACUGCAAUAUCAUGUAAAGAAAUGAUGCAUGCUGAUUUAUAUAUAAGGUUACAGACACGGCAAGAGGCAGGACAUGCAAAAUUCUGCUCUAAUUGAACUUUUUGUGAAAGAUUUCCUAUUGCAGGUCCACUAGUCUGAUUCUCUUCUUACUCUCAUAAGCUCCCUCGAUUGUAACCCCACUAUCUGUUUCAAGUUUCAACCAUUACCCUCCAAUUAUGUUCAAAUGUGUAUAAACUAUAAAAGGCGUUGAAAGAUUCUCACAUCCACAUAUUCACCCUACACCUAUCACCAUAUAUUUGGAAGACUGCAUCUGAUUGUGCACCUGCCUUUUCUUCUGAUUUUUAUUCGUGUGUAUUCUGCACCCUGUAAUUUACCAGCUAGCUUCCAAUCUUUUUGUGUUUAUAAAUCUGCGGUUCUAGAAAAAAGUUGUAGAGAGAAUGAAGAGCAACUUACCAAGUAAAUAAAGAUCCAGUAGAAAAAAAUUGAUUUAUCAAUCCCCCUCUUUUCUUUCCGAUUGAUAACUAUAGUUACUGUUGGUGAUAGUGAAGAUAAUUGACGAUGGAGUAGACUUUGAAUGAUACGGGAAAGGAAGCAGCAACCUUUUGAUCAUGGAGAGGUUUUCCGAUUGCGUUGGAGGAACG
rnacentral:lncRNA from 1 species